rnacentral:lncRNA from 1 species
CGUGAAACGUGCCAUUUAUUUGUUAACGAACUUCGGUUACGUAGGAAAUGAUCGUUAAAAUAUCGAAAUGAAUGACGUCACCUUUACUUGGUCGACUGACAUUAUGACGUCAUUAUAAAAUUGGUCUCUCUUAGAUUGUUGCUUCUCAAAUUCAUUAAUAAUUCAUGAGCAAUUCACCCAAUGAUAAUCACCUAUUUGAUCA